UUCUUCUUCUUCUUCUUCUUCUUCUUAUUCUUCUCCUGAUACGAAUCCGAUUAUGGGAAUACUUGGCCUCGGCUUUUGGGUUCAGGGCUUUAGGUGCUUUCCAUGGAUGGCUGUCAACUUUUUCUUGAAAGAUGGCCUCAAUGUGGACCCUUCUACUCUCCAGCUUCUCCAGAACUCCGCCAAUCUUCCCAUGGUCGGUAAGCCUUUCUACGGUGUCGUAUCUGAUUCAGUUUACAUCUCUGGCCAGCAUCGUAUCCCUUACAUUGUCUUUGGAGCUUUCUUGCAAGCAGUUUCAUGGCUAGCAAUGGCAAUCCUCCCACCCUCAACC
rnacentral:misc_RNA from 1 species